GGAGGCCGCAGCUAUCCCGCUAGGUGACAACGGAGGUGCUCGCCCCCGACCACGGGGAAGACCGCCGCCUCCAAGAGCUCUAUGAGGCCGAGGCGUACGAGCACGCGUGCCAUACUUUCGAGGACGCCAAGGCGCCGCUGGCUCGAGGCCGCUGCCUCGCCUGCCGCGGAGAAGGCAGCGGCUGCGGAAGAAUAGCCCAGAGAUAUCGAAGUUUCUGCACACGAUAAGAACAACAAAAUACAAAAUUACGCAAAUAAUUUGAAGGCGAUUGGAAUGUGGCUGUUAAUAAGAAGUUAAAGAGGAUAAAUAGGAAGAAGAAGCAGAGUGCAUAUCUCAAACAACUGAGUCAAAACUUACAAGUAUGGAACUUUACUUAAUUUACAUGCAAGCAAAUUAGUGAAGUAAUUAACGAGUACAGGGAGCUUACAUGAGCGUGCAGAUAGGCUGUCAGAAAUGUCAAUCAGACAUUUUAGUGUGUGGCGCUGUCUCCUCGGUCCAACUCAACUGAAGAGAGUUCAUGCCAUUUUGGUACCGUUCACAUCUACAUGGCAGAGCAAUGCUUUGCAUCUACUGGUUAUUGAGAAAUCCGAGGACUAUGUUGUACAGCUUUAGGUACGUAGAAGUGCAAUCUUCGGAUUGCUAUUAUCAUGGUUGAUUUACUACGGAAAUUUUCUCUUUGGGAUAAUAUGUGCUCACCAUUGCACUAUGUGGCUACAGGAGUAUUGUUUGAAGUCUAUUUCCUCUCCUCUUUCGUGAACUAUUCGCAAUGUCUUCAGGUUGGUAAAGCAUCCAAAUUGGGAAGUUUUGUGUUAGUACUUUUAAUGUAUGUAGUUUUUUUUGUCGAAAUGGUUAAUGUUUGUAGUUAUGCAUCACAUGAAUGUUCUGAAUGAACGGCAAACAAAAUUGUUCUGGUUGACUGGAUUCGCUACGGGAUCGUCGCUAGAAGAGCUAGAGUAACCUUCAACAUUCAAAAUAUGUAUGAGAGGGGAAAUAAAAAUUGUAUGAUCAGAAGAUUCUACUUGCGCCCAUUCUAAAGCUGAAGAUAGUAUGUUGUUGGCCCUUUAUAUUGGUAUUUUUUCCUGGUUGUUUUAGUAAAGUACGAGAGUUCCACAACUUGCAGUUAGUUUUGGUUCUCUGUUUGAAAGAUUUUUUCUUGUGUGUGCAAGGCAGAAGCAUAUAUUUUAACGCACUCUGUUAUAAACUUCUGUGGGAACUACAGACCACAUGUCAGAAUUCUUUUCUUGGUUGUUGAAAUGCGCCAUUCUUAGAACCUAUUUUAUUGCUUCCAUGUUUAUUUUUAUGUUUGCUGACAAUUUUAUAACCUUGUUGCUUCAAAAAAAUUAUGUUUGUCUAGCAUUAGGAGCCAUCCACAGUAUAACAAAUGGUAGAGAUUUAUGUGGCCGUGAGAGGUCUUAACAAAUGAUCACCUGGGGAGUGCUAAUCAAUUAAUAGCUUUUGUAUACAGAUUCAAAGGGGCAAUGCUUAUGCUAUUUUUAAUUCUCUAUAUUUUGUGAUCAUGUUUUGAGGGAAGAAAAACAGAAAUAGGAAAAACAUGCUUCGGCUGUUUCGAGUUGGUAAUUAAGAAAUUGGUAGUUAGUUAAAUUAAUAACCAGGAAUUGCUCUUCCCUUGGAAUGUUCAGAUAAAACCACUACUUAUGGUGGUGCAGAUCUUCUUCAAAUAUUCGCUCUUAUGGAGCAAGGUAAGUGUGUUGGAUGGUUGAUCUUUUUCUAGAUUAGGCAACUUAAUUACAUAGCCAAUUAAGACUGACCAAUAUUCUUUUUUGAUGUCAUUGGUUCAUGUCCUUGAUUGCAUGGAAUCCAACGUUUCUUCCGUUCCAGAUUUUUUAAUGGGCUCUUUCUGGCUGUAGCUCAAGAAUUAAAUAUUUUAGGUUGUAUGUUUUACCUCAGGAAUUGAAUAUUUUGGAGCUCGAGAGAUCAACAAGAAGUUCAGAGGUAAAAACACUGAAGACAUCUAAUGUACGUUAAGAGAUCAACCUGGCCUAGGUCAAUCUAUCCUCAAGUAUGGUGUGUGUCUUCGUUCCUUUAAUCCAAAAGCAGUUUGUAGACAGCAGCACCUGAAGGGUGAUGCAUUCAACAGUUAUUGAGUUAGGACACCAUUCAUAAGAGAUAUACUUCUUUCUUU